AUGUGAGGGUGACCUGGCUGUGACCCUCCAUCCCAUUGAUUGUCUGGCCCAUUAGACUGAUGUGGUGGCCGGGUGUCUUCUUUCCCCCCACCUCU
rnacentral:sRNA from 1 species